UUGUUUAGAGUGAAUAGUAAGAGCAAUUUUAUUGCUCUUGCCCUCCAAUUGCCCUUUCCUCCACUAACUAAGCGCAACAAGUGGCAAACUCUUUUCUUUACAACUUCCUUACCCAGGGCUUCAAACACUCGAGUGUUAAGGUUUUUCCCGUUGUAUUCUAUUAGAAUGAUUCACUAGUAUUGUUAAGUUGGACGUGGAAAGCUAGGGUUUCAUCAUUGUCUUCAAUUACCAUGAAGGGGCUUAUAAGCACCCUACAAGGAGGAGUAUUAAUUGAAUGCUAUAUUAUUUAGACGUGGCUUGUUUUGGAGCAAUUAAAUAUAGGGUUUGGAGUUGUCGAACCUACAUCGCAUGGAAUUGGCAGGAGUAGAUUAUUUUUUGGAAUUGAAAUUCUCUCCAAAUCUUCAAGUCCGAAGUCGGCGGACCCAUAGAUCCAGCCCAAGUUUUUGGAUUCGCUCUGUGAGAACAUGGUGGGAUCCAAGACGAAGAGAAGACGACAAAGACGAAGUAUGAGAACAUGGUGGGAUCCAAGUUUUGGUGCGGCAGUGAUUUUAAUGGUGAUGCGAUGAGGCGGUGGUGUGGUGCGGCAGAGAAUCACACCCAUGAAUUAAACAGGGAUUAUUUUGAAUAUCAAUGAAAUCACACCCUCUAUCUUUCCCACCCAGAAUUUUUUGAAUAUCAAUUAAACUGGGAUUAUUCUAAGUGUGAUUUCAUGGUGGGUUCUAACUUUUCAAAAUUACAUCUGGGUGUGAUUCCUGCCAAUUUAAUUUCAAGUUUUGGGAUCCAAGGUUUAAUUUUGGUUGUUCAUGGUGAUUUUAAUGGUGAUGCGAUGUGGGGGUGAUAUGGUUUGCAGCCAGAGAUGUGGAAACAUAGGGAAAAGAUGGUUGAGAAGGUGAAGGAAGCAUAAUUGUUGCACUUAUUUUAUCAUACCUUUAUUUAUUUGUUUUGUGGUGGGCUUGUUUUGUUUAUAUUAUCAAGAUAGAGGGCGUGUAUAACUUAUUUGGAUGACGAGUUUGUUUAGCAAUUUUCAUUUUAAAAUGUAUAAUUAGUAGUAGAAUUUAGAAACUUGUCAAACUGAAUAAAGUGUAGCAUUUACUUAAGCA